GUAUUGGAAGACACAAGAACUUCCCACGCUGGAGGAAUGGCAGAUGAAACUUAUGGACUAUAUGGAAUUGGCAGAAAUGACUGGUAGAAUCCGUGACCAGGGAGAAGAGUCGAUGGAGGAAGACUGGAAGAAAUUCAAAGACUAUCUUCAGAAACACUGCAAAAUUAAGGAAUGUUAGAGUGAUGUUGGAUUGAAAACAAGUGGUUUCCAGCUGUACAGGUUAAAGUUAAGGAUAGAUUAAGAUUAAAGAUCAAGAGUAAGGAUGUUUAAAGAAAUGGAAAUUUGAUAAUAAAAGGGAAAAAUUUAAAGCUAUAUGACAUUAAGAUCAAGGAUUAGGUUUAAAAAAAGUUGAAGUUAUAUAUUUUAACGUUUUAUUAAAUUAAAGAUUGGGAUUAAAAAAGUGGAAAAGAAACUGCUGGACAAAUAAUGUGGAUUGGAAUACAAAAGAGGGAGGUAUGAGGAAGUCCAGAAAAUAAGUAAUUUAAAAUUGGAAAUGGAAAAGAGAGUUUAUUUUUAAUUGUUAUGUUUUGUGUUUUUAUUGUUAAGUUUUGUAUUGUUUUUUGUGUGUGUUGUUUUUCUUUUUUGUUUGUUUAAAACCUU